rnacentral:lncRNA from 1 species
UCUCACUCUCACUCUCACUCUCUUCAGCACCGCUCUCUCUCAUCGCCACAGUCUUAUCUCGUUCUCACCUCUCGUUCAACCUGGUGACUGCAAUCUUCUUCUUCUUUAGUUUUUUUUUAUUCUUGUUCUAUCUCUCUCACUGUUCAAAGUUUCCAAAUCGGUUUGAAUGAUUGAUCCAGAAGAUAGGGUUCUAAGAAUGAUAAAGAAUUUUUGUUUUUCGUAAAGUUUGGAUUUGGGACAUCUAUGUUAGGGUUUUAUUUGAAUUUGGGGUUUUUUGUUUCUCUUCUUUCGAAUUGUGAACUAUUGGGUUUUUUUUCUUAAAUUGUGUAUGCUUAAUUAAUCAAUUUAAAUUUCUAGGGUUAGGGUUUUGAUGAAAAUUUGAGGGUUUUUGUAAAUUACAAGGGUUAGGGAUUUCUGAUGUUACAAUAUUUAAUAGUAAUUGAUGUUCGUUGUUAAUGGAACAUGAUUAUUUGUGGCAUUGGUUUUUUGGGCAAUAUGUUGUUCAUUGGUGUUAAUAUAUCAUUGUUGUUAAUAUUUCAUUGUUGUUCAUUGAUUGUUAAUAUAUCAUUGUAAUGCUGCUAAUAAAAUAUUUUGAGUUAAGAUUAGUUUGUCUUUGGAUGUGAUAAAGUCUUGUUCUGGCUUCUAAUACCAAAGAAAUUGGUUCAUCUGCAAUGGCUGGUAGUUGAAAUUAAAUCUCAGCUCGAUAUUGAAAAUUUCAGUUCAUUCGGAGACCAUUUCUAAAACAAUUCCGUUUUUUUUUUUUUAAUAUAUAUUUUGUUUGCUUGUGGUUUAUUUUGUUGUUGUUUGAUCUAAUAGAUUGAACACAAAAUUGCCUAAAGCAAGAAUGUUCAACAUGUCUGUCAGUUUUUAAUGGUGCAUGAUCCAUAAUUUUAUUUGGUACUCUGAUCACUUGUGGUAUGACUUGUAUGUUCGUUUAUAGUUAGAGCUUUUACUUGUCAAUUUCCUAUCACAAGCACAGUUUGCAUUGUAGGUGUUCAAUACUGAACUUUGUCUUUUCUUAAGUAAAUGUUGGUACCAGUGGUUUGUUCUUUAUUGUUCAUGUGAAUUUAUUUCAUAUUGUCAUUUUAUCCUUUUUUUUUAUAAAACCUUUUAAUUCUUUUUUAAGAAUUUAGAUUCCUUAUAUUAUUUACUUGUAUUAAACUGGACUUUUAGCUCAAAUGGUAGAGCAACUGAGAAUUAGAGGGCAUACUUCUCAGAAGAUAGUGGUUCAAAUCCACUGAAGUCCAUUAAAGUUGUCAAAGACUAUUUAUGUCUAAAGUUUGUGUGUGCCCUUGAUCUGGUAAGCGUGGAAAAGAAAGUAUGUGGGACUGCAGGUGGAAGUUCUUAUGUGGUUGUGUCCCCAAGGGAUUUUUUCGACGGCAGGCGUUGUGCGCCUUGCUAUAAUUCUGCAAUAUGUUUGAGGCAUGAGUAUUAUCAGUUCUUUAUAUUUUGGAUUACAUACGUCAUUUUUUUGUUUAGCUCCGAGGAAAUUCGUCGCACCCUCACUGCAGCGUUAACAACCAUGGAGUUACAAUGUUCCUUUGAUAAAAAAAAAUGUGUUCCUUGAAUAUCUGUAAUUGAUAUAACAAGUCUAUUAUAUGGUGUAAUAAUCAGAAUGAAAGUUUUGUAAAUUUAUAAUACCUGGAAGUGUAACUGUGUAACCUAUUUUACCUUUACCUCUUGUUUAGGGUAAAAUUGAUAUGAUUUCAUGUUAAAGUGCUCGGAAAACUUUUUGUUGUUUAGGGUAAAAUUAGAUAACUCAC